rnacentral:rRNA from 1 species
UGGGGAAUUUUGGACAAUGGGCGAAAGCCUGAUCCAGCAAUGCCGCGUGUGUGAAGAAGGCCUUCGGGUUGUAAAGCACUUUUGUCCGGAAAGAAAUCCUUGGCUCUAAUACAGGUCGGGGGAUGACGGUACCGGAAGAAUAAGCACCGGCUAACUACGUGCCAGCAGCCGCGGUAAUACGUAGGGUGCAAGCGUUAAUCGGAAUUACUGGGCGUAAAGCGUGCGCAGGCGGUUUGCUAAGACCGAUGUGAAAUCCCCGGGCUCAACCUGGGAACUGCAUUGGUGACUGGCAGGCUAGAGUAUGGCAGAGGGGGGUAGAAUUCCACGUGUAGCAGUGAAAUGCGUAGAGAUGUGGAGGAAUACCGAUGGCGAAGGCAGCCCCCUGGGCCAAUACUGACGCUCAUGCACGAAAGCGUGGGGAGCAAACAGGAUUAGAUACCCUGGUAGUCCACGCCCUAAACGAUGUCAACUAGUUGUUGGGGAUUCAUUUCCUUAGUAACGUAGCUAACGCGUGAAGUUGACCGCCUGGGGAAUACGGUCGCAAGAUUAAAACUCAAAGGAAUUGACGGGGUCAUAGCUGUUU